CUCUUCUCGGCUCCUGGGGAAGACCGUACCCUUCCCCUACUUGCUCCGGCCAUCGCCAUGACCGGAGAAGCGAGCUAAGCCCGCGGUGGGGCCGUGCGGGUUCGGCUUCUCCCCGCGCCGCCACCGUCGCCUCCCACCGUUGGCCGGCGUAAGUGUCGGCUUACCUCGGUUGGCUGCACCUAGUUGCCGCCGGCGCUCCCGCCGUCGAAGGCCCCUGCCGGCCGGGGUGGAGUACGUUGAGCUCUCCAUCACCCCGUGCAGCUAGGGCAUCAUUGCCCGCCACCGC
rnacentral:lncRNA from 1 species